rnacentral:rRNA from 1 species
UACGUAGGGUCCGAGCGUUGUCCGGAAUUACUGGGCGUAAAGCGCUCGUAGGUGGUUUGUCGCGUUGUUCGUGAAAACUCACAGCUCAACUGUGGGCGUGCGGGCGAUACGGGCAGACUUGAGUACUGCAGGGGAGACUGGAAUUCCUGGUGUAGCGGUGGAAUGCGCAGAUAUCAGGAGGAACACCGGUGGCGAAGGCGGGUCUCUGGGCAGUAACUGACGCUGAGGAGCGAAAGCGUGGGGAGCGAACAGG